GAGUUUGAUCUUGGCUCAGAUUGAACGCUGGCGGCAGGCCUAACACAUGCAAGUCGAGCGGAUGACGGGAGCUUGCUCCUUGAUUCAGCGGCGGACGGGUGAGUAAUGCCUGGGAAUCUGCCUGGUAGUGGGGGACAACGUUUCGAAAGGAACGCUAAUACCGCAUACGUCCUACGGGAGAAAGCAGGGGACCUUCGGGCCUUGCGCUAUCAGAUGAGCCUAGGUCGGAUUAGCUAGUUGGUGGGGUAAUGGCUCACCAAGGCGACGAUCCGUAACUGGUCUGAGAGGAUGAUCAGUCACACUGGAACUGAGACACGGUCCAGACUCCUACGGGAGGCAGCAGUGGGGAAUAUUGGACAAUGGGGGCAACCCUGAUCCAGCCAUGCCGCGUGAGUGAAGAAGGCCUCGG
rnacentral:rRNA from 1 species